rnacentral:tmRNA from 1 species
GGGGAUGUAAGGUUUCGACGGCUAUUUUGAAAUAUUAUAAGCGAGUAGUGGAUUCUCGUUGGCCACUAUAAAAACGAGAAAUUAAAAUUAAACGCAGAUAAAGAAUUUGCAAUGGCUGCUUAAUUAAAAGCGGCAAUCUUUGUACAUUUUGCUAGGUAAUGUAUAAAGGUUUCAUAAUUUACUAGCUAACAAAUCUAUCAAAAGGUUGUAUGAUAGAGGGUAACUUACAAUCAUAUUAUUUCAUUUUUUUGUAAAUGUUUUAGUGAGAUAAUAUUAUUUAAACAUUUACUGCACUCGGAGAAAAUAAUAUAGAUGAAUUUUCGGACGUGAGUUCAACUCUCACCAUCUCCACCA